rnacentral:misc_RNA from 1 species
GGAUCAUUAUUGAAUUUGAAGAGGGAUGUUUCGAGCAUCCUUCGACUCUUUUCUCAUGAUUUACACACCUGUGAACCGUUGCCGAGUUCGCUCGGUGGCAACCUUUACACACACGUAACAGUAUAGAAAGUACAAACUAUAAAACAAAAACAACUUUUGACAACGGAUCUCUUGGUUCUCCCAUCGAUGAAGAACGCAGCGAAAUGCGAUAAGUAAUGUGAAUUGCAGAAUUCAGUGAAUCAUCGAAUCUUUGAACGCACCUUGCGCUCCUUGGUAUUCCUUGGAGCAUGCCUGUUUGAGUGUCUUGAAAUUCUCUGUUCCUUUGUUUUUGUUCAUUCGAAAGCGAAGCGAAUCAGGUCCUUGGGCCUGCUUGUGGUUACACAAGCUUGCCUUAAAUACAGUAGCUGGGCUUCAGCAGAGUUGUUAAGUAACAUUGAAAACUCUCGUAAAACGGAGCCUGCUCUCUAAUCGCCGUCACUGGCACCAUUUUUCUAUUUUGGCCUCAAAUCAGGUAGGACUACCCGCUGAA